rnacentral:rRNA from 1 species
AGCGAACGCUGGCGGCAGGCUUAACACAUGCCAGUCGAGCGGGCACUUCGGUGUCAGCGGCAGACGGGUGAGUAACACGUGGGAACGUACCCUUCGGUUCGGAAUAACGCUGGGAAACUAGCGCUAAUACCGGAUACGCCCUUUUGGGGAAAGGUUUACUGCCGAAGGAUCGGCCCGCGUCUGAUUAGCUAGUUGGUGGGGUAAUGGCCUACCAAGGCGACGAUCAGUAGCUGGUCUGAGAGGAUGAUCAGCCACACUGGGAGUGAGACACGGCACAGACGCCUGGGAGAGGGAGGAGUGGGGAAUAUUGGAAAAUGGGCGCAAGGCUGACCCAGCCAUGGCGGGUGAGUGAUGAAGGCCUUAGGGUUGUAAAGCUCUUUUGUCCGGGACGAUAAUGACGGUACCGGAAGAAUAAGCCCCGGCUAACUUCGUG